rnacentral:rRNA from 1 species
UACGAAGGGGGCUAGCGUUGUUCGGAAUUACUGGGCGUAAAGCGCGCGUAGGCGGUUAGUUAAGUGAGAUGUGAAAGCCCUGGGCUCAACCUGGGAACUGCAUUUCGAACUGGCUAGCUAGAGUAUAGAAGAGGGUGGUGGAAUUUCCAGUGUAGCGGUGAAAUGCGUAGAGAUUGGAAGGAACAUCAGUGGCGAAGGCGACCACCUGGUCUGAUACUGACGCUGAGGUGCGAAAGCGUGGGGAGCAAACAGG